AUGAAGCCAUUGAAGCCUGCUCUGCAAUGCACCAGUCAGUGUUUACUGCGUAGGAUCAUGAAAUCUGCUCUUUCCUUGGUUCUGCUGCACACCGAAUGAGCUGGCAGGAGGUGUGUGGCUGUCACAGGUUGGGGCAGAGCUGAGGAAGGAGAAAGAACGAAGGAUGGAAAGAAUGAAGAACCAGAUAAAAAGCUCCUCCUGAGCCAUGGACUACAAAGAGAAUUUCAUGAAUAUUUCCAUGUAGAGUUAGCCUACAAUUGUCCGGGUGAGUGGGGCACCAUGGAUGCAGAAAAGUAAUCGCCAAGUUUGUAUGCUUAC
rnacentral:lncRNA from 1 species